AACGAACGCUGGCGGCGUGCCUAACACAUGCAAGUCGUGCGGGAAAGCGGGGGUAACUCUGCAAGUACAGCGGCGCACGGGUGAGUAACACGUAGGUAACCUACCUCCGGGACCGGGAUAACCUGUCGAAAGACGGGCUAAUACCAGAUAAGACCACCGAGGUUGCGGCUUCGGCGGUAAAAGAUGGCCUCUGCUUGCAAGCUAUCACUUGGAGAUGGGCCUGCGCGCCAUUAGCAGGUUGGGGGGUAAGAGCCCACCAAGGCGGAGAUGGCUAGCUGGUCUGAGAGGAUGGCCAGCCACACGUGGGACUGAGACACGGGCCCAGACUCCUACGGGAGGCAGCAGUGGGGAAUAUUG
rnacentral:rRNA from 1 species